CAUGCAGUCGACGCACUCGACCUUCGGGUCACAUGAGUGAGUGGCGAACGGGUGAGUAACACGUGAGAAACCUGUCCCGAAGACUGGAAUAACCCGAGGAAACUCGGACUAAUACCGGAUGCCCCCACCGGAUCACAUGAUCUGGUGAGGAAAUGCUCCGGCGCUUCGGGAGGGUCUCGCGGCCUAUCAGUUAGUUGGUGAGGUAACGGCUCACCAAGGCAUCGACGGGUAGCUGGUCUGAGAGGACGAUCAGCCACACUGGGACUGAGACACGGCCCAGACUCCUACGGGAGGCAGCAGUGGGGAAUCUUGCGCAAUGGGCGAAAGCCUGACGCAGCCACGCCGCGUGAGGGAUGAAGGCUUUCGGGUUGUAAACCUCUUUCAGCAGGGACGAAAAUGACGGUACCUGCAGAAGAAGCUCCGGCCAACUACGUGCCAGCAGCCGCGGUAACACGUAGGGAGCAAGCGUUGUCCGGAUUUAUUGGGCGUAAAGAGCUCGUAGGCGGUUCGGUAAGUCGGGUGUGAAAACUUGAGGCUCAACCUCAAGAGGCCACUCGAUACUGCUGUGACUGGAGUCCGGUAGAGGAGUGUGGAAUUCCUGGUGUAGCGGUGAAAUGCGCAGAUAUCAGGAGGAACACCGACAGCGAAGGCAGCACUCUGGGCCGGUACUGACGCUGAGGAGCGAAAGCAUGGGGAGCGAACAGGAUUAGAUACCCUGGUAGUCCAUGCCGUAACGUUGGGCACUAGGUGUGGGGUCUAGCUAACAGAUUCCGUGCCGCAGCUAACGCAUUAAGUGCCCC
rnacentral:rRNA from 1 species